rnacentral:lncRNA from 1 species
UGGUUUCAGGCUUUUCUUGAAUUUCCGACGAGAAAUUCCGGCGUAGAGAAUUCUUGUUUCUUUCUAUUUAUGAAUAUCAAACGGUAGAAACAGCAAUAUUGUGUUCAUGUGAUGGAGAAAAAGCCAAGAAAAUAAGAAGACACAUAAUAAAAAAGGUUAACCACAGUUUUCUCUAAAUUAUGAAAAAGCCAAGAAAAUAAGAAGACACAUAAUAAAAACAGGAAUAAACAAGAACAAAAACGGCGGCGGUGAUAAUGGCGGCAACACCACCGGAAGUAGAAGAAGAGUUAGAGCCAGUAGAACCAUAAUAAUAAUCGACUUCAACAUCAAAUGGUUUCACAUAAAUAACCGGCCACCAUAAACUUGCAUCCUUAAAAACCCUUUUAACCGUUGGAUGAUGAUCAUGAUAACCAAAAGGCAAUUUUUUGAUGAUGAUCAUAAGGGAAGUUAGUAUUAUCCAUU